AGGGUUCGAUCAUGGCUCAGAACGAACGCUGGCGGCAUGCCUAACACAUGCAAGUCGAACGCUAUCUUGUAUAGAGUGGCGCACGGGUGAGUAACGCGUGGGAACCUACCUUUCUCUGCGGGACAACGGCUGGAAACGGCCGCUAAUACCGCAUACGCCCUACGGGGGAAAGGUCAGCCGGAGAAAGAGGGGCCCGCGUUAGAUUAGCUAGUUGGUGGGGUAAUGGCCUACCAAGGCGACGAUCUAUAGCUGGUCUGAGAGGAUGAUCAGCCACACUGGGACUGAGACACGGCCCAGACUCCUACGGGAGGCAGCAGUGGGGAAUAUUGGACAAUGGGGGCAACCCUGAUCCAGCAAUGCCGCGUGUGUGAUGAAGGCCCUAGGGUUGUAAAGCACUUUCACUGGUGAAGAUGAUGACGGUAACCAGAGAAGAAGCCCCGGCUAACUUCGUGCCAGCAGCCGCGGUAAUACGAAGGGGGCGAGCGUUGUUCGGAAUUACUGGGCGUAAAGGGCGCGUAGGCGGCUCUUUAAGUUAGGCGUGAAAGCCCCGGGCUCAACCUGGGAACUGCGCUUAAGACUGGAGAGCUAGAAAACGGAAGAGGGUAGUGGAAUUCCCAGUGUAGAGGUGAAAUUCGUAGAUAUUGGGAAGAACACCAGUGGCGAAAGCGGCUACCUGGUCCGGAUUUGACGCUGAGGCGCGAAAGCGUGGGGAGCAAACAGGAUUA
rnacentral:rRNA from 1 species